GAUGAACGCUAGCUACAGGCUUAACACAUGCAAGUCGAGGGGCAGCAUGACGGAAGCUUGCUUCCGUUGAUGGCGACCGGCGCACGGGUGAGUAACGCGUAUCCAACCUGCCCACCACUUGGGGAUAACCUUGCGAAAGUAAGACUAAUACCCGAUGAUAUCUCUAGACGACAUCUGAAAGGGAUUAAAGAUUUAUCGGUGAUGGAUGGGGAUGCGUCUGAUUAGCUUGUUGGCGGGGUAACGGCCCACCAAGGCGACGAUCAGUAGGGGUUCUGAGAGGAAGGUCCCCCCACAUUGGAACUGAGACACGGUCCAAACUCCUACGGGAGGCAGCAGUGAGGAAUAUUGGUCAAUGGGCGGAAGCCUGAACCAGCCAAGUAGCGUGAGGGAUGACUGCCCUAUGGGUUGUAAACCUCUUUUAUAAGGGGAAUAAAAUACGGGACGUGUCCUGUUUUGCAUGUACCUUAUGAAUAAGGACCGGCUAAUUCCGUG
rnacentral:rRNA from 1 species